rnacentral:lncRNA from 1 species
GAACCCAACAACUCUCCCAUCCUCCCCAAAUCUUCAAACAUCUCCUCCACCCUUCUUCUCUUCUUCCCUGCCACCGCCACCACCUCUCCUCCCCAAGCCCCCGCCGCCACCGCCUCUCCUCCCACACCCGCCACCACCUCUCCUGCCACCGCGGCACAGCCCCACCGCCGUUUGUCUCUCUCCGUUCUCUCUCUCUCUCUUCUGUGCCUGCCGCUGUGUGCCACCAUCGAGAGGUGUGGGCCGGCCGUUUGAUCGACAAAGAGGGGGGUGUGAAUGUUGCAGGGCAUCUGAGAGAGAAGGGUGUUUAACGAGAACUGAACCGUCGGGCGGUUCGUACUCCGGUCACCGGAGUUCAGUCGGAGAGGGAACCAGAAUACUUCAAUCGGUUUGUACUCCGACAAAGGGGUUGCAUACAUACUUGUAUGUGAAGAUUUUAGUGAUUUGUUGAUAGCUCAAGGGUGUGGGUUUGCUUGUUCGAUUCUGUGUUUCGAGAGAGGAGAGCCAGAGUGUUGUUUCUAUAUGUAUGUGUUUUGAUUGUGUGAGGGAGAUUUGAGAGGAUAAGGUUGCAGAAUCUUUGUGAGAUGUUGUUUGUGCAAACAUUAUCAAUUUAUAAAAACAAACAGUCUUGUAUUUUCAGCUUACAGACCUUCAGACCACAUCUUCAGUUGCAGACAUGAAAACAGAUGAAAUCAGCUUGCAGACAGUUUAUGUCAAACAGCACCUAAAACUGCUUGUCUUCUCGCGAGUGCACCACCACCACCACUGUCUCCGACGAUUCCGGUGGCUAAUACCCUAAUCAAAACGCCGGCCACCCUCCUCCCAUUUGGUCCCUCUCCAUUUUCCCCUCACAUCUACCACUUAUAUACUCGAGGUUGUUUUUCUCCUGUGUUAAUAUGUCUUGCUCUGAUCUUUAAGGGAUUUCUUCCAGCUUUUUGUAAAAUUACAACAACCAGAAUCCAAAAACGCAAGAUUUACAAAAUCAAACUGCACAAGAAAUCAUCAAAUUUCACUAAACCUAGAAAGCAUUCGAUUAAUGGGUUUCGCCGUUUUACCUCAAGAAUUCCAAAUCGUGUAGAAGGAUUUAAAGUUGGAGCGAUUUUGAGAGCCAUGAGCCUUAAAUGGUGUAUCAAAUUUGUCGUUAAGGCAACAAAAAUUUGCAUAAUUAGCUGCGGUUAGAGCUACACGAGCUUAGAUGCAAGCAGUUGCGGUAUAAUUUGUUCGGGUUUCGAGUAAGGGCGCGUCUCUUUAUGUUAUCCCUUUAAUGUUUAUGAUGUACCUGCGCCACAACACGUGCGAGUCUAAUUACUAGUAUAUAUUUAAGUAUCAUUGGUAAAAUAUGUAGU